rnacentral:lncRNA from 1 species
CUUGGGCAGGCGCAGUCCUGAAAUGGCCGUGCAGUCUCAGGCCUGCGCCCCGGUGCUGAAGUGGCCGGGUCUGAGGACUGCUCCGGGGUGUGGAAGUUCAAGGCCUCCAGGGCUGGGCCGCUGGCUGGAGGGUGGGUCUGGCAGAGAGGAGGCUGGGAGACGCGGCUGCCAGGCCGGCAGAUUCCCACAGUCGUUACUGGUUCGGCGCAGGGGAGAGGAGAGAGGACAAUGGUGACAGAGGACGGCGUCCUUGGCCCAGGGUGAGGCUCCCACCCCGCGCGGUGCAGCCUGGCCUGCCUCUGAGGAGAGCUGCCUGCACGCAGAUAAGGAGCCUAGGAAUGAAAAUGGUCUUCUCGUCUUCCUUUGCUUUAAAUUUCUGAAACGUGAGGAGUCGCACUUUUCAAACCUCUGCGAACCCAGCUGAAGCUGCGGCAGGUGACCUCUCCCCCCUCCGCCAGCGUGUCGCAUGCCUGGUGGAACUGUCACCGUCAGCAUCCGCUGAGGCCCCCUGCUGGGCAACAGCCAGACCCUGUCCUGUCCCGCAGAACAUUACCCGAGCUACAUUCUGCCCACCCCUUUGUUUAAAAUUUAUUUUUAUUUGAGGACAGGAGCCCGCUAAGUGGCUCAGGCUGGUCUUGAACUUGUGAUCCUCCUGUCUCAGCCUCAUUAGUAGCUGGGAUUCCAGGCAUGCAUCUGGGUGCUGGUCAGCUUGGCAUUAGUGUUUUACACGUCAUGCAGAGAGUAGCUAGCUACAUGGACUCCUCCAAAGAACUAAUGAGAUACUGGAAGGAAAGAAUUUCCCUUAGGCUUGAGCACGGAAUUUCCAGGGCCAUGUCCCCAGGGCCAUGUGCACCCCAGGUGAGGUGUGGGAGGAGACUGAGCCAGGACGACAGCCGGGUGACCGGGUAGGGUGUCUGGGGCCGGGCAGAGAGCUGCUCCCCUCCCCAGCCUCUGCUUCAGAGCCGUCUGACAGUGGACGAAACAUCAGCCAGAGCAAGCUCUCUGCCCUGAAGCACUGGCCCUCUGGGGGUUCAUCCCAGCAACGAGGACAGGGCUGAGACUCGGGCACGGAGAGGGGUCUGCUCAGGCUGCACACCCAGG